CUAACACAUGCAAGUCGAGGGGUAACAGGGCGUAGCAAUACGCCGCUGACGACCGGCGCACGGGUGCGUAACGCGUAUGCAACCUGCCCGUAACAGGGGAAUAACGGGGAGAAAUCUCCACUAAUGCCCCAUAUACUUGCUGGUUCGCAUGUUCCGGCAAGGAAAGCUUUCUGUGGUUACGGAUGGGCAUGCGUGACAUUAGCUAGUUGGUAAGGUAACGGCUUACCAAGGCGUCGAUGUCUAGGGGAGCUGAGAGGCUAAUCCCCCACACUGGUACUGAGACACGGACCAGACUCCUACGGGAGGCAGCAGUGAGGAAUAUUGGUCAAUGGAGGGAACUCUGAACCAGCCAUGCCGCGUGAGGGAGGAAGGCCCUACGGGUCGUAAACCUCUUUUGCCCCGGGGCAAUAAGGGCCGUGCGCGGUCCGAUGAGAGUACGGGGCGAAUAAGCAUCGGCUAACUCCGUGCCAGCAGCCGCGGUAAUACGGAGGAUGCGAGCGUUAUCCGGAUUUAUUGGGUUUAAAGGGUGCGCAGGCGGUCGAUUAAGUCAGCGGUGAAAUGUCCCGGCUCAACCGGGGAGCUGCCGUUGAUACUGGUUGGCUUGAGUGCGGACGGCGCCGGCGGAAUGAGUGGUGUAGCGGUGAAAUGCAUAGAUAUCACUCAGAACACCGAUCGCGAAGGCAGUUGGCGAGGCCGUCACUGACGCUGAGGCACGAAAGCGUGGGGAUCAAACAGGAUUAGAUACCCUGGUAGUCCACGCAGUAAACGAUGAUGACUUGUUGUCGGCGACAGACAGUCGGUGACAAAGCGAAAGCGAUAAGUCAUCCACCUGGGGAGUACGAUCGCAAGGUUGAAACUCAAAGGAAUUGACGGGGGCCCGCACAAGCGGAGGAGCAUGUGGUUUAAUUCGAUGAUACGCGAGGAACCUUACCUGGACUCAAAUGUUGGGUGACCGGCCAGAGAUGGCCUUUCCUUCGGGACAUCCAGCAAGGUGCUGCAUGGUUGUCGUCAGCUCGUGCCGUGAGGUGUCAGUAAGUCCUAUACGAGCGCACCCCUACGCCAGUUGCAGCGGGUAAAGCGGGACUUCUGGGGGACUGCCGCGCAGCGAGAGAAGGUGGAUGACGUCAUCAGCACGUCUACGUCAGGCGACCACGUGCUACAUGCGGUACGAAGCAGCACUGGCGCAGAAGCGAUUCGAAGCGCUCAGUCGAAUCGAUUGCACCCGCACCUCGGAAGUGGAAUCUCGU
rnacentral:rRNA from 1 species